rnacentral:rRNA from 1 species
CACGUAGGAGGCGAGCGUUGUCCGGAAUCAUUGGGCGUAAAGAGCUCGUAGGCGGUUCGGCAAGUCGGAUGUGAAAUCUCCACGCUUAACGUGGAGGGGCCAUUCGAAACUGCCGUGACUCGAGUCGGUAGGGGAGUGUGGAAUUCCUGGUGUACGCGGUGAAAUGCGCAGAUAUCAGGAGGAACACCAGUAGCGAAGGCGGCACUCUGGGCCGGUACUGACGCUGAGGAGCGAAAGCGUGGGGAGCGAACAGG